rnacentral:rRNA from 1 species
CCUACGGGGGGCAGCAGUCGAGAAUCAUUCACAAUGGGGGAAACCCUGAUGGUGCGACGCCGCGUGGGGGAAUGAAGGUCUUCGGUUUGUAAACCCCUGUCAUGUGGGAGCACAUUAACAAGAUAGUACCACAAGAGGAAGAGACGGCUAACUCUGUGCCAGCAGCCGCGGUAAUACAGAGGUCGCAAGCGUUGUUCGGAAUCACUGGGCGUAAAGCGUGCGUAGGCUGUUUCGUAAGUCGUGUGUGAAAGGCGCGGGCUCAACCCGCGGACGGCACAUGAUACUGCGAGACUAGAGUAAUGGAGGGGGAACCGGAAUUCUCGGUGUAGCAGUGAAAUGCGUAGAUAUCGAGAGGAACACUCGUGGCGAAGGCGGGUUCCUGGACAUUAACUGACGCUGAGGCACGAAGGCCAGGGGAGCGAAAGGGAUUAGAUACCCCGGUAGUC